GGUGAACGCUGGCGGCGGGCCUAAUACAUGCAAGUCGAGCGAACAGACGGGGAGCUUUCGCCUCUGAGGUUAGCGGCGGACGGGUGGGUAACACGUGGAUAAGCUACCUAUAAGACGGGGAUAACUUCGGGAAACCGGAGCUAAUACUGGAUAAUAUAUUGAACCGCAGGGUUCAAUAGUUAAACACGGUUUUGCUGUCACUUAUAGAUGGAUCCGCGCCGCAUUAGCUAGUUGGUAAGGUAACGGCUCACCAAGGCAACGAUGCGUAGCCGAGCUGAGAGGGUGAUCGGCCACACUGGAACUGAGACACGGUCCAGACUCCUACGGGAGGCAGCAGUAGGGAAUAUUCCGCAAUGGGCGCAAGCCUGACGCAGCCACGCCGCGUGAGUGAUGAAGGUCUUCGGAUCGUAAAACUCUGUUAUUAGGAAAGAAAAACUGUGUAAGUAACUCUGCACGUCCUGACGGUACCUAAACAGAAAGCAACGGCUAACUACGUG
rnacentral:rRNA from 1 species